UCUUUUUUUCUCAUCUCAUGCUCAUUUCUGUGACUUGCUUCAAUACUAUUUCACCUCACCUCUUCUAUUUAUACACUUGCUACUACCUCCCUCAUUCCCUUCAUCUACUCCGAUUAGGGUUUCACCACUUCGUUUUUCUCGAACAUCGACCGUGAAAGUUAAGAAGAAGGGCGUGAACGAGAUGAAGAACAGAUCCAAACUCGUGCUCCUUGUCUUGAUGUUGCUUCUAGUUACCAUACAUGCAACUCGCCCACAUCAUGAUCGUCGAACCCAAUCACAAUACAGUAAGAACAAGGCGUUGGUGAGAUUCAAACCUUAUCGGAUCGGGUCGACCCUAUUGAAGCAUAAACGAGCGGAUACGCUGCUAGUCGCCGGGUCAAGCUUGCCGGAUUGUACCCACGCUUGUGGAUCUUGUACCCCAUGCCGGCUAGUGACGGUCAGCUUCGUUUGCUCAUCCAUUGAAGAGGCUGAGACUUGCCCUAUGGCUUAUAAGUGCAUGUGUCACAAUAAGUCAUACCCGGUGCCAUAAAUACUUGGAUUUAAUCAAAUUUUGAAUGAGUUGAUAUUUGACCUCUCUCGUCGCGUAUAUAAGUCGUCUUUAUUUUCCUUUUUUGUUAGGUGUAAGUUUAUUGUUUUAAAGGGUGCUAGGACAUGUAGUUGUUGUUAUUGUUGUUUUACUUCUUUAAUUAGAUGCAGUCAACGCCAGCAAUUUUACUUUCAAAUUUCAUUAAAAUUGAAAUAUAUUGUUGUUUAUUUUUAGUAGUACGAUUA